rnacentral:rRNA from 1 species
UACGAAGGUGGCGAGCGUUGUUCGGAAUCACUGGGCUUAAAGAGCACGUAGGCGGACUGUCAAGCGUUUUGUGAAAUCCCUCGGCUUAACCGAGGAACUGCUUGGCGAACUGGCAGUCUUGAGGCAGGUAUGGGUGUGUGGAACUCUUGGUGGAGCGGUGGAAUGCGUAGAUAUCAAGAGGAACGCCGGAGGUGAAGACGACGCACUGGGCCUGCUCUGACGCUGAGGUGCGAAAGCCAGGGGAGCGAACGGGAUUAGAUACCCCCGUA